AUGACAAUGGCGUUCCCAACCCUUCCAGUUACCCUUGCAUGCCUCACACUGUUAGCUCUCUUGUUGAUUGCCAUGGCGGCUGAUAACGACUCCAUGGCCUCUGGCCUCGUCCUCCUUAAUUGCGGAGCAUCAGGCCAAGGCGGUGAUGAUAUUGGUCGUACUUGGGACGGGGACACCGGCUCCAAGUUCGCACCAUUACUGGAAGGAGUUGCAGCUAAUGCUUCACACGAAGACCCUUCACUCCCCUCUAGGGUCCCUUAUAUGACUGCACGCAUCUUCACUUCCAAUUACACCUAUUCCUUCCCUGUCAGUGCAGGCCGCAUGUUCUUACGCCUCUACUUCUAUCCGGUUGCUUACGGAAACUAUGCUUUCUCCAAUGCCUUCUUCGGUGUCACGACACCGGAUCUUGUCCUCUUAAAUGACUUCAAUGCUUCACAAAUAGCUGAGGCAAGUUCUGCCUACCUUGUCUGUGAAUUCUCGGUGAAUGUUUCUUCAGGCAGCUUGGACCUCACCUUUGCCCCAUCAGCACAUCAGAAUGGUUCUUAUGCAUUUGUCAAUGGCAUCGAGAUUGUCCCCACGCCUGACAUCUUCACAGCAGCUGACACAAGAUAUGUUGGCGAUAAUUUAUCUCCAUUCUCAUUCGAUACUGAAACAAGCCUCCAGACUAUGCACCGGCUCAAUAUCGGGGGCGAAGCCAUUUCCCGGUUUGAUGACUCGGGCUUUUACCGCUCAUGGGCCAGUGAUUUACCUUACUUAUCUGGUGGCUCUGGGGUGACCUUCUCCAGAGAUUUCAAUUUGACUAUCAGGUAUACACCCACAGUGCUGGAUUAUAUUGCUCCAAUAGACGUCUAUAAAACAGCUCGGUCAAUGGGGCCAAAUGCACAGGACAACGGGAAGUACAACCUUACAUGGAUUUUACCGGUUGAUGCGGGGUUCUCUUACCUCCUAAGGCUCCAUUUCUGCGAGAUUAAGUAUCCUUUUACCAAGGUGAAUCAGAGGGUGUUCUUCAUAUACAUCAACAACCAGACAGCGGCACAGCAAAUGGAUGUCAUCGUCUUGAGCGGAGGAAUCGGUAGAGCAUCAUACACAGACUAUGUUAUCAUGGCUGUUGGUUCCGGUCAGGUGAACAUGUCGGUUGCACUUCACCCUGAUCUUUCAAGUAAACCAGAGUAUUCCGAUGCAAUACUGAAUGGUCUUGAGGUAUUCAAGCUACAGAGUUACGGAUCACCGAACAGUCUUGCUGGGCUCAAUCCUCCACUUCUGCAAAAGCCUGGUGCGGAUCUUAAUAGGCAAUCUAGCGGUGCAAGAAAAUUCAAAGGUUACAUCGUAGCCAUCGGUGGAACUACUGGCGGUAUUUCUUUCAUGGUGAUUGUCCUUUUCAGCGCGAUUGUUAUCUGCAGACGGAAGAAGGUAGCGAAGAAUUUUUUCAAGACCGACCAUGGACAUCAUCCCACUGAACGCAAAAAGUCUACAUGCGAUCUCGUCCGUCAUUUCUCACUUGCAGAAAUUCAACUUGUCACCAAAGACUUUGAUGAAGCAUUUAUCAUCGGCAGAGGUGGUUUUGGGAAUGUCUACAGUGGCGAGAUCGACGGAAGGACAAAAGUGGCAAUCAAGCGAUUCAACCACAAAUCCCAACAAGGUUUUCAUGAGUUCCAGACUGAAAUCGAGAUGUUGUGCAAUUUCCGCCAUCGCCACCUUGUGUCUUUGAUUGGCUACUGCGAGGAGAAGAAUGAGAUGAUUCUGGUGUAUGACUACAUGGCUCAUGGUACACUGCGUGAGCAUCUGUACAACACCAGGAACCCAGCACUGCCGUGGCAGCAGCGCCUUGAGAUUUGCAUCGGUGCAGCCCGAGGACUGCAUUACCUCCACACCGGCGCUGAGCAAGGAAUCAUCCACCGUGACGUUAAGACCACCAACAUCCUACUGGAUGAUAGGUUAAUGGCAAAGGUUUCCGACUUCGGUCUAUCUAAGGCUAGUCCAGACAUUGACAACAGCCACAUGAGCACCGUCGUGAAAGGCACCUUUGGAUACCUUGAUCCUGAGUACUUCAGACUGCAGCGUCUCACUAAAAAAUCAGAUGUGUACUCCUUUGGGGUUGUGUUGUUUGAGACCUUGUGUGCGCGCCCUGUGAUAAACACCAAGCUUCCGGAGGAGCAAGUGAGCUUGCGUGACUGGGCACUAUCUUGCCGGAAGGAAGGUGUACUCAAGGAGAUUGUUGACCCCCGUGUUAAGGAGGAAAUCACCCCUGAGUGCUUCAGGAUUUUUGCAGAGAUAGCAGAGAAAUGCGUUGCUGAUCGGAGCAUAGACAGGCCAUCAAUGGGUGAUGUACUUUGGAACCUUGAGGUGGCACUCCAGCUGCAGGAUAGUGCAAGCUACAACAGCAGAUGUGCCGAGGGUGCGUCAUCUCUUCAGAUCACCCCGGUGGAUUCAGACAGACCAUCGACCAACUCAACAAUUAGCGUUGCAGCACAGGAAGCCAUAUUUUCAGAUAUUGCACAUCCAGAAGGCUGA
rnacentral:rRNA from 1 species